UUCAUCUAUAAGUUCCUGACUGGGGCUGCUGCCUUUUUUUCAGAGAUGCCCUGCCCAGAAAGGAAAUAAUCUAGAUAGGCAUCCUGCCAUAGUGGCCUUGCUGAGCUGUGGUGGGCUCCUCCCAGUUCAGAGUUCCCAGAGGCUUUGUUUAUGCAGUGAGGAGAAAACCAGGUGCUCAAGCCUCAGCAAUGGUGGAUGCCCCUCCCCCCGCCAAGCUCGAGUGUCCCAGGUGGACUUCAGACUGCUGUGCUGGCAGCGAGAAUUUCAAGCAAGUGGAUCUUAGUUUCCUGGGCUCCGUGGGCAUAGCAUUCACUGAACUAGACCACUUGGCUUCCCGGCUUCAAUUCUCUUUUCAGGGGAGUGAACGGUUUUGUCUCGCUGACGUUCCAGGUGCCACUGGGGUACGGGAAAAACAAACAAACAAA